rnacentral:tRNA from 1 species
AAGGGUUUAGGUUAAUCAAACCAAAAACCUUCAAAGCUUUAAAUAUGAGUUAAAAUCUCUUAACCCUUA